GUGGUGCAGUGGAAGGGUUAGGUGUUUAAAAUUUUCAUUCUAAAUACCCGAUGCACUGAAAACCCCAAUGUCCAGAAAUCUUUGACUAUAAUAAUCAAAGUACAAUAAAUAUAAAUUAGCAUAAGAAAAAUACCUGUAGUGCUUAUCUUAAUUUUUAUAAGGCAUCCAAGUGUCCGCCCUCCAAUGGUGAUCCACAUGAAAACUGAACCAA
rnacentral:lncRNA from 1 species